ACACUAGAAACCCUGCUUUACUUGAAUUUUUCUCAGAUGAGCAAUCCACAUCUACUUCACGAGGCACAUGGCUAAUCCCUCACUAUAAUAAUAUGAAGAGUUACUAAAUGAAAGAAAUAAGUAACCUCUAUCCCUUCUUCCAAGUGGAUUAGUAGAGUAGAUGCAAGAUCUUAAACAAGAGGCACCAUCAGUUCAUAAAUCAUGAAUGGAAGAAUAUAGUUGGUAAUGGCUGUGCACAGAACUUCCCAACUAGGAUUGUUUUAAACUCAGUCUGAAAGCCAUUCUUUUCUUUUCUUUUCUUUUCUUUUCCAAAGCGAUCAGUUCUACAUCCUGGUCAGGCAGACUUCUUGAAACUUACAGAUCCCUCUGACCUAGACUUGACCAUUUCUUUGAAUGGUUACAAAAUGAACAUUAAUUGAGAAAAUGACUACAACCUAAGAAGAUCAGAUGAAUUUAAGCAGUCAACCAUCCAAGAAAGAGAUUUUCAUGAAUAUAUGCAGUACUUUGAGUGCAGCCAAGCAGAUAUGCAAAGUGAUACUGAUCUUAAACUGACAGAGAAGAAAUGUUCUGACACAUUUCAGGAAGAAAGGAGAGGCUUAUUUUCCCUGCUUUUUAUUUCUCUCCUCGCUUGGAUUGGGGAUGUGGACAUUUUAUACUGCAUAGUCUUUGGAAUGAUGCGGCCAGCUCUCAUAAAUUAUCUCGUAAUAGCACCAGAAGGAACAGCAUGUCGUUCACUUACAUUUCUGAGUUAAUGAAUCAUUGAUGACAUUAUAUAAAGAACAGGAACUUUGUCACUGAUUUAACAGUCAGGGAAUAGCAGCUUGGAAUACUCUAAUAUUCUCAUCGUAAUUUAUUGGAAUGCAUUAGCUCAUGGAAAAAAACCCUGCUUUCAGCAGUUUUCCAUGACCUGACCCACCGUUCACCUCCAGCGUUCAGUAUUUAACAUCUAUAACAGAAAGAGAAAGGCAGAACUAUGAGCUCAAAUUGAGGCUGCGGCUGAUGGAGUGCUCCCUUCGACACACUUCAGACUCCCCUGGACAUCUGUCUCCAGGAAGAUCCAGAACCCCUUCCACCGUGGGGAAAAUCUCUCCUGAGAAAGGGAAGACUCUUGAGACCUCAGUGAAGGCUCCAAAGAAGAGGCGUUCUGACACCAAUCAUAAGGACUCUGCUCUCAAAAGAUCUUGCUCCCCUGCUAAACCCAUGGUAUCAGAAGCCUCAACCUCUUGGCUUGGUACCAUACAGGCAAAAGACUCCUCUCUGGUAUCGGCAGGAUCAGAAAAUCUGAGUAUUCUAAGGAGAAACUUUAUUCUGACAGAACUCUGGUUCCAUCUACAUGGGUCAAGGAGAGUAAUGAUAAACAUCUCCUCCAGAGUGAUACCAUUGAGCACAGCUCUGUCAUUGGUACCUCCCCAGUCGGACCCUAGGUACUGUGCAAACUGAAGUAUCAGAGACUAUUGGCACUGCUUCAGUAUGGCACUAUCUUCUUCAAUUGCCAAGCAUGCCACCACAUUGGUACCAUCACUUAGUACCACUGGAAUUUACAGUCAAAAGACUUAUCAUUGGCAGAUGAACUAGACUCUUCACUACUCAUGGGUACCAAAUGUCUCUCUGUACCAAGACCCCCAUGUUUGGACUACCAUCUACCAUCACUCUCCAGUGCUGCUGGACUCUGCACCCUUUUCUGCUGUUUCUCCUACUUAUGUUGAAGGUUAUUAAGGAGGAUGAGGGAGCCCUCCAUUCAGUAUCUUCCAUCCCAGUGCAGGGUUCUCCACCCUAUCCAUAUAGGUACCUAUUUUUGACACCCAUAGGGAAGCCCGUUGACAUGAAGCAUGGUGGGACCAACCCUGGAUGGUCCUUUCUCCUAUUCUGUAACAUAUGUUGUAAGGUAGAUGAGUGAUUU